rnacentral:rRNA from 1 species
AGGCCGUGUGCGCGAGUCAUUGGGUGUAAACCUAAAGGCGCAAUGAAAGUGUCAGAGGGGAGCCUAGCGCUCCCCGCAGGGAGGAUGGGCUUCCGUACAAUUUUUUGUCGGGGCCCCGCACUCCCGGGGCGUCUCGUUCUCAUCACGAGUAGAGACGCACCAGGAGCGCACACGCUGAUACCCGAAAGAUGGUGAACUAUGCCUGGCCAGGACGAAGCCAGGGGAAACCCUGGUGGAGGUCCGAAGCGAUUCUGACGUGCAAAUCGAUCGUCUGAGCUGGGUAUAGGGGCGAAAGACCAAUCGAACCAUCUAGUAGCUGGUUCCUUCCGAAUGGG